AUACGGAAGGUCCGGGCGUUAUCCGGAUUUAUUGGGUUUAAAGGGAGCGCAGGCGGAGAUGCAAGCGUGACGUCAAAUUUCGGGGCUCAACCCCGUCUCGCGUCGCGAACUGCGUCCCUUGGUUGCGGGAAGGGGAGGCGGAACUCGUGGUGUAGCGGGGCAACGCAUAGAUAUCACGAAGAACUCCGAUCGCGAAGGCAGCCUUCCGGCCCGUCAACGACGCUCAUGCUCGAAGGUGCGGGUAUCAAACAGGAUUAGAUACCCUGGUAGUCCGCACAGUAAACGAUGGACACCCGCGGUUUGGCCUAUAUGGCUGAGCCGCCAAGCGAAAGCGUUAAGUGUCCCACCUGGGGAGUACGCCGGCAACGGUGAAACUCAAAGGAAUUGACGGGG
rnacentral:rRNA from 1 species